rnacentral:rRNA from 1 species
UACGUAGGGUACAAGCAUUAAUCGGAUUUAUUGGGCGUAAAGGGCGCGUAGGCGGGAGUGCCAGUCAGAUGUGAAAUCCCGAGGCUCAACCUCGGAACAGCAUUUGAAACUACACUUCUAGAGGGUAGGCGGAGAAAACGGAAUUCCACAAGUAGCGGUGAAAUGCGUAGAUAUGUGGAAGAACACCGGUGGCGAAAGCGGUUUUCUAGCUUAUACCUGACGCUGAGGAGCGAAAGCGUGGGGAGCGAACAGG